UACGUAGGGACCAAGCGUUGUUCGGAUUUACUGGGCGUAAAGGGCGCGUAGGCGGCGUGGUAAGUCACUUGUGAAAUCUCUGAGCUUAACUCAGAACGGCCAAGUGAUACUGCUGUGCUCGAGUGUGGAAGGGGCAAUCGGAAUUCUUGGUGUAGCGGUGAAAUGCGUAGAUAUCUGGAGGAACACCGGUGGCGAAGGCGACAUCCUGGACCGGUAUUGACGCUGAGGCGCGAAAGCCA
rnacentral:rRNA from 1 species